GGAUUACAGGCGUGAGCCACCGCGCCCGGCCUUUUAAAUGGCUUUAAAUCAGUAGAUGCAUAUUUUUAAACUUUAAUUUUAGAAAGUACUCUGCCUGCAACGUGAAACAUAGACUGAAGGUGGGUGAUGCGGAGAAAGACUGAAGGCUGCUGGGAGUUUAUAAAGAUCAGAAAAAAGACACUUUGCAAAUUCUGAUGAUACUACUAAAAGAUACACAAGAAUUGGUUCCUUCCGGUGGGUUCUUGGUCUCGCUAACUUCAAGAAUGAAGCUGCGGACCCUUGUGAUUCUCAGUAUCUGCUUAUGUUUUAGGUAAAAAAAAGUAUUCUAGACAUAUUGAAAAGAACAGAGGACUGGAUGCCACCUAACUGGGGUCAAAUUUACUCUGCUUCUCAAGAUCUGCAAUAUCUUAGGAAAAUCCUUCUACCUCUCUUGACACAUUCUCAACUUGUCCCAGAGAAGUUGGAGUGUUGGACAACAGAGCAACUUCUUCCUCCUCAAAAGAAAGGUGUGGUUGCAAACUGUCUUGAACUUCAUUUCAUCUCAACAGAAGACACUGGCUAGUGAUGGGGCUCAGAAUAUGCCACCCUAAAGUAUGACUGUAAGAGGCCAGAAUAUGUCACUUGAAAUAGGCCUUUAUGGAAUAAGAAUUAUUUUGAGCUGGUUAUUUUGAGAAGCUGCAGACACAAAAGAAGCUCUGAAAAGUCACCCUUUUACAAGUAAAAUUUACAUCUAUAAAGUAAAUAUCCAUUUGUGAUGGUGUCUCUCUAAAGCAAAAAAUCACUAGAGCCUCUUAAUCAAAGGAGAAAGCAUCAACUUAAAUUUUUAAAACAUACUUCUCCCUUGUUCUAUGGUGCUUUUCUGGCAUGCUUGUCUUAACCAGAUCUUCCCCCAUACCCUUCUUUCUUUGUUUCAGAGAACUAUGGUAAUUAAGCCUGAAGUAUAAGUAAACUCUUUGAAACGUACUCUACAUAUUUACUCAUUUCUUUGGGUUAUUUCCCAUGUAUACAGGAAGUAUACAUGUAAUUCAACCAUUUGUUUUUGCCUUGUUAGUCCAUCUUAUGUUACAGGGAGUCCCAGCAAAGAACUGGGAGGAGAAAAUUAUUUUUCCUCUCCUAUACUGGGUAAUGUGAUCCUACUGAAGAUACCAGUAGGAUCUCCUUAAACCUCAAUCUGC
rnacentral:lncRNA from 1 species